AUACGUAUGUCGCAAGCGUUAUCCGGAAUUAUUGGGCGUAAAGCGAGUCUAGGCGGCUUGUUAAGUCAGAUGUGAAAAUGCGGGGCUCAACUCCGUAUUGCGUUUGAAACUGGCAGGCUAGAGUACUGGAGAGGUGGGCGAAACUACAAGUGUAGAGGUGAAAUUCGUAGAUAUUUGUAGGAAUGCCGAUGGUGAAGACAGCUCACUGGACAGAUACUGACGCUAAAGCUCGAAAGCGUGGGGAGCGAACAGGAUUAGAAACCCGGGUAGUCC
rnacentral:rRNA from 1 species